rnacentral:rRNA from 1 species
GCUCGACGAGGCCCGUCGAGAACGUCUUCAUGCUGAGCGCACGGCGCUUGAGCCGCACGUCGCUCACGAAAUCGUCGGUCGCGUUCGGCUGCAGCGACCAGUACAGCGUCAGCAGC